rnacentral:misc_RNA from 1 species
AAGUCGUAACAAGGUAACCGUAGGUGAACCUGCGGUUGGAUCAUUAAAAAAGAUCAGGGACGCUCGCGUCCUGGGCCAAAGCGCUUCGGCGUUUUUGACCAACCACCUUUUGUGCACCGUAAUUGUCUCUGGCGGCCGGACGGAGGGGACGCUCGAUCCAAGUUUUGGGGAGAGCUCUUCUUGCGUCUGUCAGCUCGGGCGACCGAGCCGUGGACAACCCGCCAACCACUUACUUACCCACUCAUCAUUUGUCUGACAUUGUCAUUUUGUACCUUUGAAUAAAUGUAUGAAAAAACAACUUUUGGCAACGGAUCUCUUGGCUCUC